rnacentral:scRNA from 1 species
UAUCGCUUCGAGCAUCAUGUAAAUCGCCUUUU